UACGAAGGGAGCUAGCGUUGUUCGGAAUUACUGGGCGUAAAGGGUGCGUAGGCGGUUUAAUUAGUCAGAUGUGAAAGCCCUGGGCUCAACCUAGGAACUGCGUUUGAUACUGUUAAGCUAGAAUUCGGGAGAGGUGAGUGGAAUUCCCAGUGUAGAGGUGAAAUUCGUAGAUAUUGGGAAGAACACCGGUGGCGAAGGCGGCUCACUGGACCGACAUUGACGCUGAGGCACGAAAGCGUGGGGAGCAAACAGG
rnacentral:rRNA from 1 species